rnacentral:rRNA from 1 species
UACGUAGGGUCCGAGCGUUGUCCGGAAUUAUUGGGCGUAAAGGGCUCGUAGGCGGUUUGUCGCGUCGGGAGUGAAAACUCAGGGCUCAACCCUGAGCGUGCUUCCGAUACGGGCAGACUAGAGGUAUGCAGGGGAGAACGGAAUUCCUGGUGUAGCGGUGGAAUGCGCAGAUAUCAGGAGGAACACCGGUGGCGAAGGCGGUUCUCUGGGCAUUACCUGACGCUGAGACGCGAAAGCGUGGGGAGCGAACCGG